UUAGCAUGGAAAUAAAUCCCAGGUUGUUAAUUUGUGGGUAAAUAACCGGUCAGGAAGACAAUGGACGACUCUUGCAAAAUACAUUAUUCCCCGUGAUUUAACAAUUCCACGAUGUUUUGUUCAACUGUAGUACGACAAAUUCAAAUUUAUUCAUAAACUCAGCACAGACGUCUGUUUAUUGUAAUAUAACCGACGAAAUGUUUUAUCAUAUGGUACAACUGAUAGAAUAGAAGUCAGAAAAGGGUAUCGCCGAAAAACAAAACAACAAAAAAAUAUUUCUUUCGGCUUCUUCUUCAAAUUUAAUUUUCCGAAAAUGACAAAUACCGACGAAAAUCUGUAUGAUGAUUGCCAUGCCACAUCUUCGUAUUACAGAACAUGCGGACUACCUCCAAGAUUUGAAUAUCCGCAUGUCUUUAAGCACUAUGGAUGUCAACUGCCAAAGCGACAUCCGAUGUACAGAACAACAAGUAUGGAUUAUGGGUAUUCACCGCCCACGGUUCACACGGUAUCGCGAAGCUACCAUCCCAAAAUAAAUGAGUUCACCAAAUCGCGCGGAGCGAAUCGAAGGAGAAUUUGUAUCCUGAACAUGUGAGAGGCCAAGCUGCAAUUAUAAAACAAACUUCCUUUUAUGCCGGUCCGUCUCUUACGGCCUCUACUUCCAAAACAUUAUCCAAUUAAUUAAUUGUGCACGACAAGCUAAGCCUUGGAAAAUAAAAUUCUAGUUCAUGAA